rnacentral:lncRNA from 1 species
UCAGUAGGGAAAGAGAUUGUCAGUGACCCACUGAAAGUAACAGGGUAGUGAACCAACAUCUCAUAAAUAGAUUUAUGUGGAUUAUGCAAUGCGAUCAAGUUCUUACAGCAACUGCAUUAAGAAAGUAACAGGGUAGUAAUCCAACCAAGCACAAACUUAAUAAUAGCAGAGAUAGAUAGAAGGAGUAGUACAAAGCGGCCCGAGUCUUUCACAAUUCACACUUUAACAGCAAUGGCAACACAUAACAGAAUGUGACUAAUUACCACCAGAAGCUGCUCGACUAAAAGAUGAAGGGGGCCUCAAGCUUUAGAGGGUCGUGGUACACUCUGCAACUCGACAACCUUCUUCCACGACGGACGAGCCGAGACCUCGUCCCACCAUCUGGACAGGUUCUUUCUCUCGGUGAUCAGACCCGCCUUGCCGGUCUUGCUCACGAGAAGAUCAGUGUUGGGCAUGUGCACAAGGUCGGCAAGGGUGAACUCGUCGCCGGCGAAAUACUGGCUCUCCGCCAGCCGCCGCUCGUAUACAUCAAGCACCUUGGCGAGCUUCGCCUCAUUCUGCUCGACCACGGCCAUGUCGGUGGCCAUACCCAUGAGCGGCGCGAAGGUGAGCUGGAAUGCGAUGGCCAAGCUCGGAGGGUUAAAUGCCUGGCCUUCAGAUUCUACCCAUUGCUCGAUGGCGGCGCGGCCUACCGCGCCGUCUUCCUUCCGGCCUAGGAGAGUCCGGUUGCCACGGUCCGAGUACUGGUCACAGAUGUAACGGCAAAUAGCCCUUGACUCUGCCAAAAGAUGAACCAUACAACUUGUGAACACAAACGACCAUUUUACAGAUAUCUUUCUUUUCUUUCACAUUCAGGGGAAAGUCAACCAAUCAUCCAUACAUAUGAACAUGUCAGCACUGGAAUUUACCCUCAAUUCAGAAACUGGAUAAUUACUGAUAAAAUGUAUGCAGAUCUAAGUAAACUGUACAUCUUUGUCAACGAAUGGCACUUGCAAUUGAUAGGGAAGCAAAAGAAGAUGUGAAGAUACUAGAUGCAGAAGUAGCAGGAGAAGUUGGUACCGACCGAAGACGGUGGUGAGGUGGUCUUUGAAGGCGGGGACCUGGCCGAAGGGCUGGAGCUUGAGGAAGGAGGGGGACUUGUGCUCGCCCUUGGACAUGUCCACCGCCUCGAGCUGGAAGGCCACGUCCUUCUCCAGCAGGCACGCCGCCACGCGGGCCACCGCCGGCGAGAUCGCCGGCCCGUAGACCGUCACGGGCGCCGCCAUCGCCGCUUCUCCAGACCUAGACGGACGGACGGACGGGGGAUAGGUGGGUAGGAGAUAGCGAGUGUGAGACAGAGGCAGGUGCUACUGCAGAGCGAGUGCGAGACUGGGAAGGAAUGCGCUGCCCAGUCAGCCCCCGCCCCCGUAUGUUUUGCAUUUCUGUCCUGAGUUCUGACAGGUGGGGCAACCUUCUCUGCGGCAAUUCGCCAUGAACAAAAUCCAUUAUCAGCAAAUAAAUCUGUUAUUUUUGUUGGAAAAAAAGGUUAGAUACCAAGCACCCAUUUUUUGGCUAUGUUUUUCAAGCUUCAGAAACUUGAGCUACGGCAAAUUUGUCAUGGCCAAAAUUUAUUCUCAAAACAAAUCAUCAUAACCUGCAAUAAAUCAGUCCUCUCUGCAGAAAAGAAGAUACCGAGUAAUUAAAAAACUGUAAUGUUACCUAGCGGAUGUCGGCUGAGAGCGGGAAGGCAAACAAACGCUUUUUUUCUGGCAGUUUUAGUUGUUUCACGAGAUCAAAUGGCGGCAGUUUUAAACCAAUUGUACCUUUUUUUCUCAAGAGACGGUCAUGUAGAGGUUGUCAUCAUCCUUACAACUAACACUGGCAGUGAAAUCAUUCGAAAUGCCAUCUCCUUCUAGCGAAUGUUUGCCGGCUAAGAGGAUCCUUAAUAAAACAUUUCUCAAGUUUUAUAUAGCCCUGAAAGAAACUUCAUAUGUAUACGUACAGCUACAAUAUGGAAUUAAAUUGUAUAUUUUCCUUUUGGAAAUAUUAACAUUUUAGGUAUGCAUCUGCAAAAGGAGAACAUAUCUGAGCUAAUAUGCUUUCACAUUAUUACUUUUGUUAGGUAUGCCUCCGAAAUCUCUAUAACCAAGGCAGAGACCACAAAAGAGGUGUGGUUAUGAAAAAACUAGGAUUCAAACUAACCGACCAGCAAGAGAUGCCCAUCGUCCCGUCCCCUACGUCACCCCCAAGGCGACACUGGAGAUACCCUAGCCACCACCACCAGCGGGCCCUUCCUUGACCCUCCGCCCGUAUCACCGCCACCAGAGGCUUGCCAGCGAAGCCUUGCUGAGCCUGGGGAUGGUGGUGGCGGCACCCCCAAGGCGACACUGGAGAUACCCUAGCCACCGCCACCAGCGGGCACUUCCUUGACCCUCCGCUCGUAUCACCUCCACCAGAGGCUUGCCAGCGAAGCCUUGCUGAGCCUGGGGAUGGUGGUGGCGGGGCAGAUCCAUCCUCCCCUAGCGCCAUCUAGGGUGACUGUAGGGGAUCAGCAAUAGUGUUGAAGGCCACACCACGUCGCAACAUGUGCCAGACGACAGGGUGGAGCAGCAGCCGGAGGGAACCUCCCAACCCAUGUCGGAAGUGCAUCCAGAGGAAGGAGGGGGGCUGCUCCACCCUACCAUUUGGCACGUUUUGCGACGUGGUGUGCUCAACCCUACCAUUGCUCCCCUACAGUCCCCCCGAAGGUGCAACCCAGCUCCUCUAUUUUGCAUACGUUGAUGCUAGUCGGGGUGCAGGGGCAGCCGUUGCGGCCACAAUGGCGCCAUGCUAGCCGAGGCUUGCGGGCCAGCCUCGACGCAGAUGUGUCCGAGCUGUGGUGACGUUUGUAGUGUGGUGGUGUUAAGGCCAAGUGGUUGUUUCCCAGCCAUUGCUGCCUUCGAACGGACCCCUGGACCUGCAUUUUCCAGUGUCCAUGGUUCUGUCGGUGUCUUCUACCGGUGUGUUUCCGACACCGGCGACCCGUUAGCUGCAUUCCUUCCACCUUCCUCGACUCAUCAAUGUCCUAUCAGCUACAACCCGAUGGCUUAUAAUAAAGUAUAAGAAUUCACAUGACAUAUGAUCAGUGGCGGAGACGGGGGCCAGCAGGGGCCCUAUGCCCCCCUCCCCCCAUCACUGAUUUGCUGCUAGUUAGAAGAUGAACAUUGCAGAAUUUAGGGAAAAUGCAUGUAUUAGUAUAUGUGUGGCCCCGUGUUAUCAAAAGAUUGAGUCAUUUGGCCCCCUUGAUUUUCAAUUCCUGACUCGGCCAUUGCAUAUGAUAGCAAUCAUCAAAAUAAAUUGUUGAGGCUUCCGCAAAAUUUGUUCCCACCUUUAUCAUGUUUACAUGGCUCAUUUGAUUUUGUCUUAAAUUGAACGUUUUUAGGCCAAGUUUAUUAAGGAAAAUAUUGAUUAUCAUUAUAUCUAACAUGAGGUAUAUUUUAAUAUUCUAUUUAUAUGCGGAUGUAGAUGCUGAUAUUUUUAUCGAUGCGACAAACCAAAUGAACCUUAUAAACCCGGUUAAAGGGAGUACUUUCUGGAUGCACCUAACCAACUACUUCCUCGGUUUCAUGAUAUAAAAGCGUUUUUGACACUACACUAGUGUUAAGGAUGCUCUUAUGCCCUCAACUCAUAAGAGCAACUCCAACACGUCGACCCAAAUAGAUGGUGAUUUUGUUUGUUUUUUGUACGCUUUGAUCGGCCGCCCGCUCUGUUUAUGAUUUAGAUUGGUAGUGCGCUCAACGCGGUGACCUAUAUUUGCGAACAUGGACGGCCGGCAGUCGUUUUUUAACAAAUAUACACACAUUUUGUAUAGUUUCACAAGCAAACAAAAAUAGCAUAGUUUCACAACCAAAUAAACUUAGCAUAGUUUACAAGCCGAAUAAAAAUUAAAUUGUCUCAAAUAAAUUUUAAAAAAGAUACUUCUAUUGCUUGCCAACAUGAGCCCACAUAUACUCAACCAAAUUAUUUUGCAAUUAAAUGUGAGUUUCCCAAUCACGCAUUUGAUGAUGAAAUUGGGUGAACUAUGCAAAUGUUGCCGCUCCUCCUUCAUGCUCAGGAACAACACUGUCACCCUGAAAUUGAAACCCUUGAUCGUAUAUACGUUUCGGACGCUCAUCCUCUACGAUCAUAUUGUGCAUGAUCACACAAGCAGUCGUUGCCUCCCACAAUUUCUUGGUGCUCCAAGUUCUAGCAGGAUACCGAACGAUGCCCCAUCGAGACUGCAGAACACCAAAGGCACGCUCGACAUCGUUCCUAGCACUCUCUUGCUCUUAGACAAAUCUUUUCCUCUUCUCUCCAACAGGGUUGGGGAUUGUCUUCACACCAGUGGUCCACUGAGGAUAGAUACCGUCACCUAGGUAGUAACCUUUGUUGUAGUUGUGGUCGUUGAUGUUAACAUUCACCGGCGGGCAGUUGCCUUCGACAAGCCUUGCAAACACUGGCGAGCGUUGAAGCAUGUUGAUAUCAUUGGCCGGUCCGUCCAUGCCAAAGAAAGAGUGUCAGAUUCAGAGAUCUUGUGAGGCCACUGCCUCAUGUAUAAUUGUGCAAGCCCUAACAUGGCCCCUAUACUGCCCUUACCAAGCAGAAGGGCAGUUCUUCCACUCCUAGUGCAUGCAAUCUAUGAUGCCAAGCAUCCCUAGGAAGCCCCUGCUGGCAUUCAUCGCCAACAAGGGGGUUGUAUCUUCAGCAGUCGUCUCUCUCAAGUACUCAGGGCCAAACACAACAAUCACAGCCUUGCAGAACUUGUACAUGGACUCUAGGCACGUAAACUCACUCAUACGGACGUACUCAUCAAUGAGAGCACUGGGCACUCCGUAUGAAAGCAUCCGGAUAGUUGCAGUGCAUUUCUGAUAAGAUGAGAAGCCAAUCUUUCCAAGGGCAUCCUCUUUGCACUCGAAAUAAUUAUCGCAUCCGACCCCCCCCCCCCUCUCUAAUGCGGUCAAAAACAUGUCUAGCCAUACGGAAACGCCGCCAGAAUUUUUGAUGUUUGAAAAACGAGUUUAUUGUGUCAAAGUAAUACUUCCAAAGAAGCAAAUGGCCACUCUCUCGGUUGCGAUUUAAUGCCGGAAUGUGCCUCGGGAUCGAGCUCCGGAACAACGGUCGCUGCCUAUUAAGGUGGUCAUGGACCAGCACAGCAGCCAGCAUCUUCUCAUCGUUGGAUGAGGAAUGAUCGGAGUCGCACAGAAAAUUAUGGAAAAAGAACUCAUCAGCGGAAUCCAUUUGUACCUUGAGGCAAACUGUUGAACAGCUUGCGAGCGAUAAUGAAGAAGCUGGCCGACGAAGAAACACGCGCCUCCCCUGGACCAGGUGGCUGACCUAGCGACGUUCAACGAGCAUGGCGGCGUCAUCGGGGAGGUGUUGGACGAAGGAGCUGGCCGGGGCCGCAGGGGGCGACUUCGUGCUCGUGGCGACGUCUAUAAUGCCCCAAGACCGGAGCUUCAGGUGCCUUCCAUGAUUUCCGGGUUUCGUCGUGUGAUUUGUUUGGUCCGUUGCAUUUCAUCUUUGCAUCAUGUGCAUUGCAUCAUGUCAUCAUGCAACCCAUUUUAAAACUCACUAAAUAAAUCGCAUGGAUCUUCGGUCCAUUUAAACCGAGGGAAUUCACAUGGUGAUUCGCUUUAUAACAUAUCCUCCCGUUAUUAGAGAGCUAUAUUAAAUAUUCCAUUUUUGGAAUCACCCAUGAACACACUUGCAAAUAAUCACACGCCUUUUCUCGCUUCAAGUUUGGUCCCCAAACUUUGCUUUUUAUCCUUUCUCCAUUUUCCGGAGCUCCACCAAAAAUCCGAACAUUUUUGGACCUUCCUAACCCUCACUUCCUAUUCAAACCAUUUGAUUUUAAAUCAAAUGAGUUUGAAUUUAAAACUUUCAAAAAUGCCCACUCCAUUUUUCUUGGAACAUGCGCAUUUUUGCGAGUCCGUGAAAAUUAUCCCCAUGCCCAGAUUCCAUCCCUAACUUCUCUUUCUUUUCUUUCUCUUUUUAUGUUUUGUUUUUAAAUGGAAAAAGAGAAUUUAGAGAAAGAGAAGAGAGAGGAGAGAGCCCAGCAGGCCGGCCUCUAAGGCCCAUCCCUAGGCCAGCCGCGCACCUGCCUCUCCCUAGGCCAUCUACACCUAGGCCGCCUAACCUCCCACGCCGGCCCGGCCUCCCUGGCCCACUCCCUCCUAACCCUACCCAAUCCAAUCUCUCCCUCUCGUUCCCUCCCGCAGCGCCGCCAACUGCCCUUGGCCUCUCGUUCUCUCCCUUCCCUCGAUCCCAUCUCUCCCGUACGCCGCGCCACCUCUCCUCUCGAUCUCUUCCUCGCUGCCAGCCCGCGACCUCCGCUGCCCCGCAAGCACCACCAACCUCCGCCGCCGCUCAAGUCCGAGAGCCCCGCGCACCCUGCCUCAGCUCCGCCCUUCUCCAUGGACGCUGCCGGCCGAGCUCAAAGCUCCGCCCCGGAGCUGCUCCGCCCCGAGGCCCUGGCCUCGACUUCUUGUGCCUCCUCCUCCCUCCCGUCGGAACCCAAGUCCAGCGCCUCCCCAUGCCAGCGCGACCCCAUGCACCAUCGUCGAACCUCGCCGUCCUUCUGCACAUCAUCACCGGCCCCGCUUCACCUCGUUCCUGCCCUGCCAGCGAGUCCCUGCUCCAGAUCGACCCUGCCGUCCGUCGCGCCACCGGCAACCAGCUCCUCGGAGCAGAGCUCCUCCUCCGCCUCCCCGUCGUCCUUUGUCGCCGGCGCGCCAAGCCCCGAUGACCUGCAGGUCCCUUCUCGCCAGCCCCCUACUUCGAGCAGCAGUUCCUCGACCGUUACGCACGGCCCUGCGUUUGAAUUCGGGAGCACUUUCGGGUCUUUCCCCAACAUCAUGUCUUCUUUUUGGAUCACGCCAAGAUCAGGGCCCUAGUACCACGACGACCGACGCAAGUUCCACUACCGUCACCAAAACGCGAGACGAAGUACCCCGACGGUUCGUCGAGACCGGCAAGUCACAAGAUUGUCCUGAAUAUCGUCAAGUACCACGAUGACCCUCGAAGACCUCGGAUUCACCAAGUUCCCACGACGACAAGUGUGGCCCUUCAGAUGCGCCAAGUUCGUCUACACAAAAACGCCUCAUGUCGGCAGGACCCGCAAGUCGGACCCCGAACGAUCGACGUCUCGUGGACCGUGUACAACUACCGUCGCCCCGAAGACGUUGGAGUCAUCAAGUACCUCUCUGAAAUGAAUGUGAACGACUACCGUCACAAGAACGGGACCGGAAAGUCUGAAGACCUCAAGUACCACGACACCGAUGACAUGAGCGUCUAUGGAAACUCAUGCAACGAUAAACAUGUACCACUACCGUUGCCAAGAUCGCGAGAACCUCUACCGUCAACCCUAGAGCGUGCGAGAACGACUACUUUCACUACCGCCGUCGCGAGAACGUCUACUUCCUCUACUUUGCACCGAACGAGAACUGUCCCGCUUGCACGCUUCGAAGGUAUAACCUCGAGACGACGUCCGUGAAUGAAUGCUUGCGAUGUUUGAGAUGCUCAUGUUUGCACCGUGCUCAAAUUGUCACUCGUUUCCUUGCCGCCAACUCGUGGGACACCCGGAAUCCGGGAGCGCCCCACCAUCUUUUGCACGCAUCCGCACACUUCUCCUUUGCAUCGGUAUCUCAAUCGAGUUACCGGAACCGAAACGCUGCCGUGGCACCGUUUUUGUUAUUGUUGUCGUGGCACCCCUUUUCUUUCCGCCACGAUGACAAAUGCUCCAUAUAAUUCUCUUAUCAACAUUUUCUUUAAAACUUGCAUAACUUUUGCACAUGUCAUCCGCAUUAUGAUAACAACAUCAAGAAUGUUUAAAAUUGUUGUUGCACCAAAUUGCUAAUGCAUAUGGGGAUUUACCGGAUUUGUUGUUUGUUAUAUCCGGCCCCAUUUAAACUGUUUAAAUGAUGUAGUUUUGUUAUGCUUCACCUCUUGCCAUGUUAACCAACAUUUAAUAUUGUUGGGUACAUAAACGAGAUCGAACUAAAUAAAUUGAAUGUGGUGUUCCGUCAAUAUGCAACUUGUUGCAUAUUGAGCUCCACUUAAUUUGUAGUUUUGUUUGUGCACUUUGCCAUGCCAUGCUUCAUUAAACCGAACAUGCAUCAUACUUGGUUGUGCACCAUGCCAUGUUUAUGUGUUGGUUGUUUACUUUGUUGUGUGCUUCUUUUCGGUGUCACUUCUUCGGGUUGGUUCCGAUAACGUUGCGUUUGUGAGGAUUCGUUCGAAUACGUCCCUUUGUCUUCUUCGUGGGCUCGUUCUUCUUCCUUGCGGGAUCUCAGGCAAGAUGACCAUACCCUCGAAAUCACUUCUAUCUUUUCUUGCUAGUUGCUCGCUCUUUUGCUAUGCCAAUGCUGCGAUACCUACCAUUUGCUUAUCAUGCCUCUCAUAUUGCCAUGAGCCUCUAACCCACCUUGUCCUAGAAAACCUUUGUUUGGCUAUGUUACCGCUUUGCUCAGCCCCUCUUAUAGCGUUGCUAGUUGCAGGUGAAGAUGGAGCUUGUUCCAUGUUGGAACAUGGAUAUUGGUUGGGAUAUCACAAUAUCUCUUAUUUAAUUAAUGCCUCUAUAUACUUGGUAAAGGGUGGAAGGCUCGGCCUUAUGCCUGGUGUUUUUUUCCACUCUUGCCGCCCUAGUUUCCGUCAUAUCGGUGUUAUGUUCCUUGAUUUUGCAUUCGUUACACGGUUGGGUUAUAAUGGGAACCCCUUGACAGUUCGCUUUGAAUAAAACUCCUCCAGCAAGGCCCAACCUUGGUUUUACCAUUUGCCACCUAAGCCUUUUUCCCUUGGGUUCUGCAGACUCAAGGGUCAUCUUUAUUUUAAACCCCCGGGCCAGUGCUCCUCUGAGUGUUGGUCCAAAACAGAGCCACUUGCAGCGCCACCUCGGGUAAACUUGAGGGUUGGUUUUAGUUGUAUGUAGUGUUCAUCCGGUGUGCCCUGAAAACGAGAUAUGUGCAGCUCCUAUCGGGAUUUGUCGGCACAUCCGGGCGGCUUUGCUGGUCUUGUUUUACCAUUGUCGAAAUGUCUUGUAACCGGGAUUUCGAGUCUGAUCGGGUCGUCCUGGGAGAAGGAAUAUCCUUCGUUGACCGUGAGAGCUUGUGAUGGGCUAAGUUGGGACACUCCUGCAGGGUUUUUGAACUUUUGAAAGCCGUGCCCGCGGUUAUGGGUAGAUGGGAAUUUGUUAAUGUCCGGUUGUAGAAAACCUAGAACUUAACUUAAUUAAAAUGGAUCAACCGCGUGUGUAACCGUGAUGGUCUCUUACCGGCGGAGUUCGGGAAGUGAACACGGUGUUGGAGUUAUGUUUGACGUAGGUUGUUCUAGGAUCACUUAUUGAUCAUAGUUUCUCGACCGUGCCUUGCCUUCUCUUCUUGCUCUCAUUUGCGUAUGUUAGCAACCAUAUAUGCUAGUGCUUGCUGCAGCUUCACCUCUUACCUUUUACCCUUCCUAUAAGCUUAAAUAGUCUUGAUCGCGAGGGUGUGAGAUUUCUAAGUCCCCGUGACUCACAGAUACUUCCAAAACCAGCUUGCAGGUGUCGUUGAAUCGUGCAGGUGACGCAAUCGAGCUCAAGGAGGAGCUCGAUGAAGAUCUUGUUCGUUGUGUUGUUUCAUUUCCAGUUGAUCAGUAGUGGAGCCCAGUUGGGACGAUCGGGGAUCUGUUGCAUGAGGGGUAGUCUUCUUUUAUUUUGGUUCCAUAGUCGGACCUUGAUUGUAUCUGGAUGUUGUAAUGCUUUAUUCAUGUAUUGUGUGAAGUGGCAAUUGUAAGCCAACUAUGUAUCUCUUUCCUUAUUCAGUACAUGGGAUGUGUAAAGAUUACCCCUCUUGCGACAUGUCUACAAUGCGAUUAUGCCUCUAAGUCGUGCUCCGGCGCGUGGGAGAUAUAGCCGCAUCGUGGGCAUUACAAGUUGGUAAUCAGAGCCUUCCCCGACUUUAGGAGCCCCCUGCUUGAUCGAAUCGCUGGCAUUGUUGAGUCUAGAAAAUUUUUUGAGUCAUUUAGGAUUAUAUAUAUCGGAGAGUAGGAUUCUUUUUACUCCUCAGUCCCUUCGUCGCUCUGGUGAGGCAUCUUGACGUAGAGUUUUGACUCUUCUCUUCUCAAAUUUCACUAAAAAAAUUUAGGAUCACGCGGGUAUCUUGGAAUCGUUCCGAUGGUUUUGUGACGAGAACGUUGUUCUUGGUGCCUCCUGACAUUUAGGGGUUAUGGUAGUGUCCCGGGGAGUUGAGCUCCGAGGUGUUGUCGUCACAAUUUUAUCGUUGCAGUUCUGGAAUACCUGAGUUUCGCCGACAUCGAAAAUCUCUUUUAUGCAGUUGUUGGUGAGAUAACCUCGACGCCACCCAGUACUAGGGCGGGAGUUCGGAAGUAUUGCCAUAACUCAUAUAACAGAUACUUUUCGAAGGUUGAGGUAAACGAUUUCCGAAGGUUUCUUGGUUAUGUGUUGAAGGAUGGAUACAGCUGGAUGUAGGAUUUGUUAGUUUUGGGUGAGAUAUUAUGCUUCCCCUGUAUCCCCAACACCUGAUUGCAUAACCAGAAAAUUUCGGGAGUUUAUAAGUAGGAUUUCAAGUAGCUCUUAGGAUAUCUUUCCGACAGAUGUAUGAUAUGAAAUUGGGGUUCAACGUCUAGUGGUCCGCCUAUCCAUGGUUGGUUUUACAGUGGUCUCGUUGUGUCUUAAAGAGUCCUUGGCUAUGCUGACUCGGGGACGCUUCGUAUGUCAUGUGCACUGCCUUGUACAUGAUGGUGCUGUACGAUCGAGCCCGUGUAGGCCCCACCACGAAAACUUCGGACGAAAUCUCUAUGAUAUGUUUGUUCCGGCUUAUUUUGCAAGCCAAUCCUUUGUUUUUGUUUUCAGUUGUGGUAUUCGAGUUGCUUCAAUGUCAAAUGUUGAUUCCAUAGCGGUGUUCUUAUAUUUCUAUGUGAAUACCAAUCUUUCUCGAUCAUCGAGUUUAUCAUGUCAAUCCUUGUCAACCGGUGUGCUUCAAUUCAAGUGGAUCCGAUCAUUCCUACAUUUGCGAGAUCAAUUCUCAAUUCUUUCCAAUGGUGUUUGUUUCAUCCGUCCCAAGUUGUCUUUGUUUUUCCCGCCCUCCCACCCUUUUUCUUCGAGGACUAAGAUUUCUUAAUCUAGUAUCCAACUUACUGAUGUGAAGUCUCUCCAUUCUUUUCCGUCAACAUUCUAAUCUGGUGAUUCUCAUGAAGAUUCUAACGGAGCUUCAAGGUCGUCACUCUUCACUCAUUUUCUUCUCUGGUGGAUCUAAUUCAAGCUUUGCUGAUCAUAUCUUUUCCUCGUUUCAAUGCUUUUUAUAUCGUUGCACCUCUUAAUCUCCCCCGCUUGCUAUUCAAUUGUUCCGGAGUGCUGAAGAUAUUUCAGAAGACUCGCCUUGUAAUUCAAGAUCAGCUCAACCUAUUUCGAGGUUGUUACCUCAUUCUAGCCAUUUAUUUCAACCGGUGCUAUCUCCUUUUCAUGUAAUUGUUCAGCGGUGUUUCUUUUGAGUGGGCCCUAACCCACAGGUCUUUUCCCAGGAUCUUACCUGACUCUUCUAAUUUUACCGGAGUUAUUCUCAAAUUCAUUUCAAAGUUGGCGUAAGAAUGAUUUGUCAUCAGUCAAAUGUCUUUCUACAAGAUCUUUCAAAUUCUUUUCAUCGUUUGGCUCAACCUUUAAAAUCGUCAUUCCGGAGUGCCUCAACAAUUCUUGGUGGUGCUUCUCAUCAUCAUUAUCAACAUUUGAAGACCGAAGAAGAGUUUUCCCUCUAAAUCUUGCUCCAUUCUCUUCAAGAUUCAUGGUGCUAGCCUUAUGACAUCCUCUCAUAAUUGUUUUGAUUGUGAGAAUUCUUUUCACCCAUCCAGAGCAUUUCAUGAGUUGUUUUCCAUUUCUUUCCUCCGAAGGCCAUCUUUUCAAAUAUUAUUCAUUCCAGCUUUCAGCUCUCGUUAUCCAAAUCUUACCGGUGCAUCGCUCAAGUGAUCUCUAAUUAGCUCGUUCUCUCUUCGUUCUCUUGUAUCAAAUUUCCUCAAGUAUCUUCAUUCGUUCUCUAAUUUUUACUGGUGAUUCAUCCAUUUACUUCGUUCAUUUCCAAUCCUUACGGUGGUUCAUUCAAAAUUCCUUUUCUCUUGGUAUCAUAUCGAUUCAUUCGUUCUUUCCAAUCCUACCGGUGGUUCGUUGAAGUCUUUUCUCAAGUUUGCGCUAUAUAUAUCUUUAUCUUUCUACGAGGAUAAGUAGUAUGCCAAAUCCAUUUCUUGUCAAUCAACUUAAAUUGGUGAAGGAUACACAUAAUAUAAUUCUUAUUCUUGUUUCAUCCAAGUGAUUAAUUUCUUAUUCCGGAGGCUCAUCAAGUUCUUGGUUUCAAUUGUUUUCAUCUUUUCUUUUCCCGGAGUUCCAAGUUUUCCACAUUAUAUCGUUGCGAAGAUCCAUCUAAAUCAUUCUAAGGCUUCACCUUAUAUUCUCAACUUCUCUUUCUUUCUAUCAUCCUUUUAUUACUGGAGUUCUUCAUGGAGGCUCUACAUGGUGGUUCUUCAAGGAUUUAAAUUCCUUCUCGAAGGGUUCAUCGAGAUUCUUUUCAAAGGAGCUCAAGUAUUCUUCAUCUUGAAAUCCGGAGUGCAAUUCUUUCUACCAUAUCAUUGGAGGUGGUAUUAUGUCAUUCUUGAUAAUUUGAGUUCAUGUUUCAUGAUUCACAUGUUGUUAAGAAUGAGGUAUUUUAAAUCCACCAAUCUCUUCAUUCAAGUUAUCUUGGGUUAUAUUUCACCUAAAGCUUUCCCUAAGGAUUGUUGCGUUUAUGGUGCUUAUAAAUGACCCAAGGCCUUCAUUUAUCCUUCCGGUGAGAUAAGCUUCUCAUCUCCUUGUUCAUUUCAAUCCAAUCUAUUAUUUUUCGUUAGUGGCAGAAUUUCACCUCAAGAUAUCAACGUGUUUUCCAUAAGCCCACAACAAGCUUACUCUUUUUUGUUGUUGGUUUUCCAACAACUACGUUCGACCCUUCUCCUAAAGCUGCUUUCAAGCUCAUUUGGGGUAGAAGAUAUUGUUUACUCCUCCGUUCAUUCCAUUCCAUCCUCUCAUUUCUUCCGGAGGCAUUGUGAUGUUGCUCUCUUCAACCCAUCUUCUUGUUUUUGUCAAGAUCAUUUUCUUUCCUUUGCUUAUCCAUUUAACCAGAGUGUUGUGUCCUCUGCUCAAGUUCUUUUCAUCUUGUCAAGAUCACUUUUCAACAGGAGUGCUGCCUGAAUUUGUUCUUCCUUGUUCCUAUUUUCUAACGGAGUGUUUUCAACUUCGUUCAUCUCCGUUGUAUUCUUUUCCCGAAAUGGCUUAACCUUUUCAAGGUUCUUUGGUUUCACUCGUUUGUCAAAUAAGCAACUUAGUUUUACCUCUUCUCUUUUCUCUUCUGUUUUCCCUCCGGUGCCAUUCUAGAUUUCAGGACUAGAUCCUCUCGUAGCGGUGGAGUGUUGUAACGCCCCAAGACCGGAGCUUCAGGUGCCUUCCAUGAUUUCUGGGUUUUGUCGUGUGAUUUGUUUGGUCCGUUGCAUUUCAUCUUUGCAUCAUGUGCAUUGCAUCAUGUCAUCAUGCAACCCGUUUUAAAACUCACUAAAUAAAUUGCAUGGAUCUUCGGUCCAUUUAAACCGAGGGAAUUCACAUGGUGAUUCUCUUUAUAACAUAUCCUCCCGUUAUUAGGGAGCUAUAUUAAAUAUUCCAUUUUCGGAAUCACCCAUGAACACACUUGCAAAUAAUCACAUGCCUUUUCUCGCUUCAAGUUUGGUCCCCAAACUUUGCUUUUUAUCAUUUCUCCAUUUUCCGGAGCUCCACCAAAAAUCCAAACAUUUUUGGACCUUCCUAACCCUCACUUCCUAUUCAAACCAUUUGAUUUUAAAUCAAAUGAGUUUGAAUUUAAAACUUUCAAAAAUGCCCACUCCAUUUUUCUUGAAACAUGUGCAUUUUUGCGAGUCUGUGAAAAUUAUCCCCAUGCCCAGAUUCCAUCCCUAACUUCUCUUUCUUUUCUUUCUCUUUUUCUGUUUUGUUUUUAAAUGGGAAAAGAGAAUUUAGAGAAAGAGAAGAGAGAGGAGAGAGCCCAGCAGGCCGGCCUCUAAGGCCCAUCCCUAGGCCAGCCGCGCACCUGCCUCUCCCUAGGCCAUCUACACCUGGGCCGCCUAACCUCCCACGCCAGCCCGGCCUCCCUGGCCCACUCCCUCCUAACCCUACCCGAUCCAAUCUCUCCCUCUCGUUCCCUCCCGCAGCGCCGCCAACUGCCCUUGGCCUCUCGUUCUCUCCCUUCCCUCGAUCCCAUCUCUCCCGUACGCCGCGCCACCUCUCCUCUCGAUCUCGUCCUCGCUGCCAGCCCGCGACCUCCGCUGCCCCGCAAGCACCACCAACCUCCGCCGCCGCUCAAGUCCGAGAGCCCCGCGCACCCUGCCUCAGCACCACCCUUCUCCAUGGACGCUGUCGGCCGAGCUCAAAGCUCCGCCCCGGAGCUGCUCCGCCCUGAGGCCCUGGCCUCGACUUCUUGUGCCUCCUCCUCCCUCCCGCCGGAACCCAAGUCCAGCGCCUCCCCAUGCCAGCGCGACCCCAUGCACCAUCGUCGAACCUCGCCGUCCUUCUGCACAUCAUCACCGGCCCCGCUUCACCUCGUUCCUGCCCUGCUGGCGAGUCCCUGCUCCAGCUCGACCCUGCCGUCCGCCGCGCCACCGGAAACCAGCUCCUCGGAGCAGAGCUCCUCCUCCGCCUCCUCGUCGUCCUUUGUCGCCGGCGCGCCAAGCCCCGAUGACCUGCAGGUCCCUUCUCGCCAGCCCCCUACUUCGAGCAGCAGUUCCUCGCCCGCUACACACGACCCUGCGUUUGACUCUGGGAGCACUUUCGGGUCUUUCCCCAACAUCGUGACUUCUUUUUGGAUCACGCCAAGAUCAGGGCCCUAGUACCACGACGACCGACGCAAGUUCCGCUACCGUCGCCAAAACCCGAGACGAAGUACCCCGACGGUUCAUCAAGACCGGCAAGUCACAAGAUUGUCCUGGAUAUCGUCAAGUACCACGACGACCCUCAAAGACCUCGGAUUCACCAAGUUCCCACGACGACAAGUGUGACCCUUCGGAUGCGUCAAGUUCGUCUACACAAAAAUGCCUCAUGUCGGCAAGACCCUCAAGUUGAACCCCGAACGAUCGACGUCUCGUGGACCGUGUACAACUAUCGUCGCCCCGAAGACGUUGGAGUCAUCAAGUACCUCUCCGAAACGAACGUGAACGACUACCGUCGCAAGAACGGGACCGGAAAGUCCGAAGACCCCAAGUACCACGACACCGAUGACAUGAACGUCUACGGAAACUCGUGCAACGAUAAACAUGUACCACUACCAUCGCGAGAUCGCGAGAACCUCUACUGUCGACCCUAGAGCGUGCGAGAACGACUACUUCCACUACCGCCGUCGCGAGAACGUCUACUUCCUCUACUUUGCACCGAACGAGAACUGUCCCGCUUGCACGCUUCGAAGGUAUAACCUCGAGACGACGUUCGUGAACGAAUGCUUGCGAUGUUUGAGAUGCUCAUGUUUGCACCGUGCCCAAAUUGUCACUCGUUUCUUUGCCGCCAACUCGUGGGACACCCGGAAUCCGGGAGCGCCCCACCAUCUUUUGCACGCAUCCGCACACUUCUCCAUUGCAUCGGUAUCUCAAUCGAGUUAAUGGAACCGGAACGCUGCCGUGGCACCGUUUUCGUUAUCGUUGUCGUCGUGGCACCCCUUUUCUUUCCGCCACGAUGACAAAUGCUCCAUAUAAUUCUCUUAUCAACUUUUCUUUAAAACUUGCAUAAGUUUUGCACAUGUCAUUCGCAUUAUGAUAACAACAUCAAGAAUGUUUAAAAUUAUUGUUGCAUCAAAUUGCUAAUGCAUAUGGGGAUUUACCGGAUUUGUUGUUUGUUAUAUCCGGCCCCAUUUAAACUGUUUAAAUAUAGUUUUGUUAUGCUUCACCUCUUGCCAUGUUAACCAACAUUUAAUAUUGUUGGGUACAUAAACGAGAUCGAACUAAAUAAAUUGAAUGUGGUGUUCCGUCAAUAUGCAACUCGUUGCAUAUUGAGCUCCACUUAAUUUGUAGUUUUGUUUGUGCACUUUGCCAUGCCAUGCUUCAUUAAACUGGACAUGCAUCAUACUUGGUUGUGCAUCAUGCCAUGUUUAUGUGUUGGUUGUUUACUUUGUUGUGUGCUUCUUUCCGGUGUCGCUUCUUCGGGUUGAUUUCGAUAAUGUUGCGUUUGCGAGGAUUCAUUCGACUACGUCCGUUUGUGUUCUUCGUGGGCUCGUUCUUCUUCCUUGCGGGAUCUCAUGCAAGAUGAUCAUACCCUCGAAAUCACUUCUAUCUUUGCUUGCUAGUUGCUCGCUCUUUUGCUAUGCCUAUGCUGCGAUACCUACCAUUUGCUUAUCAUGCCUCUCAUAUUGCCAUGAGCCUCUAACCCACCUUGUCCUAGCAAACUGUUGUUUGGCUAUGUUACCACUUUGCUUAGCCCCUCUUAUAGCGUUGCUAGUUGCAGGUGAAGAUGGAGCUUGUUUCAUGUUGGAACAUGGAUAUUGGUUGGGAUAUCACAAUAUCUCUUAUUUAAUUAAUGCAUCUAUAUACUUGGUAAAGGGUGGAGGGCUCGGCCUUAUGCCUGGUGUUUUGUUCCACUCUUGCCGCCCUAGUUUCCGUCAUAUCGGUGUUAUGUUCCUUGAUUUUGCGUUCCUUACAUGGUUGGAUUAUAAUGGGAACCCCUUGACAGUUCGCUUUGAAUAAAACUCCUCCAGCAAGGUCCAACCUUGGUUUUACCAUUUGCCACCUAAGCCUUUUUCCCUUGGGUUCUGCAGACUCAAGGGUCAUCUUUAUUUUAAACCCCCGGGCCAGUGCUCCUCUGAGUGUUGGUCCAAAACAGAGCCACUUGCAGCGCCACCUCGGGUAAACUUGAGGGUUGGUUUUAGUUGUACGUACUGUUCAUCCGGUGUGCCCUGAGAACGAGAUAUGUGCAGCUCCUAUCGGGAUUUGUCGGCACAUCCGGGCGACUUUGCUGGUCUUAUUUUACCAUUGUCGAAAUGUCUUGUAACCGGGAUUUCGAGUCUGAUCGGGUCGUCCUGGAAGAAGGAAUAUCCUUCGUUGACCGUGAGAGCUUGUGAUGGGCUAAGUUGGGACACCCCAGCAGGGUUUUUUAACUUUUUAAAGCCGUGCCCGCGGUUAUGGGCAGAUGGAAAUUUGUUAAUGUCCGGUUGUAGAAAACCUGAAACUUAACUUAAUUAAAAUGGAUCAACCGCGUGUGUAAUCGUGAUGGUGUCUUUCCGACGGAGUUCGGGAAGUGAACACGGUGUUGGAGUUAUGUUUGACAUAGGUUGUUCUAGGAUCACUUAUUGAUCAUAGUUUCUCGACCGUGCCUUUCCUUCUCUUCUCGCUCUCAUUUGCGUAUGUUAGCCAUCAUAUAUGCUAGUACUUGCUGCAGCUUCACCUCAUACCUUUUACCCUUCCUAUAAGCUUAAAUAGUCUUGAUCGCGAGGGUGUGAGAUUGCUGAGUCCCCGUGACUCACAGAUACUUCCAAAACCAGCUUGCAGGUGUCGUUGAACCGUGCAGGUGACGCAACCGAGCUCAAGGAGGAACUCGAUGAAGAUCUUGUUCGUUGUGUUGUUUCGUUUCCAGUUGAUCAGUAGUGGAGCCCAGUUGGGACGAUCGGGGAUCUGUAGCAUUAGGGGUAGUCUUCUUUUAUUUUGGUUCCGUAGUCGAACCUUGAUUGUAUCUGGAUGUUGUAAUGCUUUAUUCAUGUAUUGUGUGAAGUAGCGAUUGUAAGCCAACUAUGUAUCUCUUUCCUUAUUCAGUACAUGGGAUGUGUAAAGAUUACCCCUCUUGCGACAUGUCUACAAUGUGGUUAUACCUCUAAGUCGUGCUCCGACACCUGGGAGAUAUAGCCGCAUCGUGGGCCUUACAACGUCGCAGUUGGGGGGAGCUGCGGUGGCCCGGCGGCAAGGCGGUGCGGCGACAUGGGAGAUGGCGGCGUGGGGAAGGUGUGGAGGCACGAGCUGUUGGCGGAGACACCGAAACUGGGAGAUGGCGGCAACGACGACGGGACGGGGCAGAAGAUGGCCAAUGUGCCACCGACUAGCGGGGCAGGGGAGAAUAGGCGUGCGUCCGCUUUGUGUCAGUGCCGACGCAAAUCAGGCUCAAAAUUGACUUGGUAAUGGAUCAACAGACGAACGAAAAACGAACGCACGUUCAUUUGGAUCGACGCAUUGAGCGGACUUUUCUAUCCGCGACGAUCUAAACAGACACAUACGAACGAAAUGGGUCGGCGCGUAGGAGUUGCUUUAAAAUCAGGGGCCGUUUGAUAAUUGGCUUAGAGAAUGCUGUUUCAUAAUUGCCAUGUGAGUAGGGAUACAAAUAGACGGCGUCCGGCAUGUUCGUGAACAGAAAAUUUACUAAACAAAUUUUGCAUCGCUCAGCUGCUUGGUUGGCCAUCAGAUCUCGGCUCAAUCGUUGACCGGCACACGGUACAACAGAGCUAGAACGGCGGGAAGCACAAUUCUUUCUUCCUCUUUUUGUUUUGUUUAUUAUCAUACGGCGGGGAGCAGAGGGUUAUCGGGAGCAUCUCCGUGCCAUUCCCCGAUGCUCCGCCGUCGCCCAUCUCCAUCUUCCAAAUGAUGCUGCCCGCUCGCGCGCCUGCUCCACUGCCAUAGCCGCCCGCCGCGCCAUCCCUGAUUCCUUGCCGUGUCGUUUCGCCCGUCAGAUGGACCCUGGGUCCGAGGUCUCGUUCGAGUUCGUGCCGGUGAUCCGGCAGUACAGGAGCGGCCGCGUCGAGCGCCUGCUCCCCGUGGACGCCGUCCCGCCCUCCGUCGACGCCGCCACCGGAGUCGCCUCCAGGGACGUCGUCUUCGACCCGGCCACCGGCGUGUGGGCCCGCCUCUACCUCCCCGCGCGCCCUCCCGACGGCGCGGGCGACAGGCUCCCCAUCAUGGUGUACCUCCACGGCGGCGGCCUCGUCGGCGGCUCGGCCGCGGACGCACCCGAGCACGCGUUCCUCAACCGCCUGUGCGCCCGCGCGCGCGUCCUCGGCGUGUCCGUCGAGUACCGCCUCGCGCCGGAGCACCCCGUCCCGGCCUGCUACGACGACGCGUGGGCCGCGCUCCGGUGGGCCGCCGAGGGCGCCGAACCGUGGCUCCGGGACCGCGGCGACCGCGCGCGGAUGUUCGUGGUCGGGUACAGCGCCGGCGGCAACGUCGCCCACAACGUGGCGCUCCGCGCCGGCGAGGAGGCCGACGCGCUCCCCCGCGGCGCCCGGGUCAGGGGGCUCGGGCUCCUGCAUCCCUACUUCCUCUCGGCCGAGAAGGCCGACGGCGAGCACUCGUGGCUGAGGGGCAAGCUGGAGGAGCUGUGGCCGUUCGCGUGCGGCGGCCGCACCGCCGGGCUGGACGACCCGCGGGUCAACCCGGUGGCCGACGGGGCGCCGAGCUUGCGGCGGCUCGGCUGCGACCGCGCCCUCGUCUGCCUCGCCGAGGACGAGCUGCGGCUCCGAGGCAAGGCGUACCACGACGGGUUGCUGGGGAGCGGGUGGGCGGAGGGCGACGCCGAGCUGCUCGACUCCGUCGGCGAGGACCACCAGUUCUUCCUCCGGGAGCCCCCGAGCGCGACGGCGCUGGUUCUCUUGGACCGGCUGGCCGCGCUCCUCGGCGCCGGCGCGAACCAGCACUAGACCAGACGUCAGGUGCUGGCACUAGUGCGUUUGGUGUUGUACUAGUACUCUGUUCUACUCUGUGUGUAUCUGGAUUUUGGAAUUUUAUGCGUCUGGUGUGUGGACUAAGAUUGAUAAGAUAGUUUUAUCUUAAAUCUUACAUAUCAUUUAGAGAUAAUAAAAAAAAUCUACAAUGAAUUAUAUCUUAGCCUUAUCUUUAAUAACUAGCCAUUUCUUAAAACAUGGUGAGACAAAUUGUGCUAAGAGAUUAUCUCUUUUUUAUGAUUUCUCUCUCCUUCAUCUCAUCAUUUAUCCUAAGAUAGCAUCAUUGUACAUGCCUAAGUCAUAGCAACUGUGAAUCAUUUUACUGAAGCAACUGCAACUCCCCACAACGGUUCUCGCCCCCGUCUCUCCUGGACGAUAUCGAGGCGAGCGGUUCCUGUUCCUACGCCGCUGGCUCCCCUUCCCUCCGUCAGUCGCUCUGGCUCCGGCGGCAGGACGGGGAAGCCCGGUUCCUUCUCUCUAUUUGUCUAGGUGUAUGAUUGGUUCGUCGGGUGUCAGUGCUCGGUUGGUGACGAUGUCGUUGUCGCGAAUGAAAGUUUCUGGGCCACUGCCUCGCUGGCGCUCUACGACGCAUCGAGGAGCCGUGGAUUUGUUCCCAGGAAAGGUCUUCAAGAUGCCGGAGGGCGGGGGAGGUCUUGUUGGGGCUCCUGUUUCUUUGGCUUUGUCCGUCACGUAGGUUGUUCCUCCAUCGCCCAUCGCCAACGCGGAGUCGGAAGUGUUUGUGUUGGAGGUGGCUACCGCUGAGGCGCUGGUCUCGUCAGAGAGAUGGUGCAGGAAGAGUUUUUUCGGCGACGAAAAAUGGUUGGCGGUUCUGGAGCCUCUCGGCCACAUCCCUGCUCGAGAAUUUCAGAGUCGUGGUCCAAGUGGGGUGGAGAUUUUCUCUGGCCGACCACCCACAGAGAAGUGUGGUGACGGUCGUGGUGGACUUACAACGCAACUGCCAUGGCUUUCUCUUGAAUCUUGACUAAAUGGAGGCCAUUUCUUCUCCUUUCCGGCGGAUAAUUGGGCGAGGGCGGUGGUCGAAGUUUUUGGUCAUUUUGUUGGUGGCUACAGGGAUGAAGAGGAAUUUUCUGCAAAUCUCAUAUGUUGCGAGUGUUUCCUAUACUUUCUCUUUGGAUUACUCCAGAGAAAUGUCAUAUUUGCUGAAAUUUGUUUAUGUUACUAAUAUAAAUGUGGUACUUCUAUUAAACUGCGAAUAAUUUUGAUCUUGUUAACUAAAUCUAUCCACAUACUUUCUCAACAAGAAAAGUCCACACACUCGCACAACAUAAGCCGUAUGAUGUUUUUAUUGCCAAAAUUUGUGCAACAAUGUCAUACUAACGUCGGAUGCUUCAUGCAUUUAAGAGCUUUCAACAACAAUGCAUAAACAUCACACGUCUGCCAACAAUAGCAUCGCACGUUUCGUGGGUGAUUAGGCAAGUUGGAGGCCUGAACUGCCUUUUGCCACAACCACUCAGAACACAGGUUACGUGUGAGGCGAGGGAACUCGCCAUUUUUUGCCGAAAUGAUCUGGCACCGAAUAUACAUUAUAUACUCUCCGUCUCAAAAAUAAGUACGUAUCUCACAUCUGGUAUAACUUUGUGCUAGAGUUAGUAUAAAGUUGAGAUACUUAUUUUGGGACAAGGGGUACAAUACUGCAAUUUAGCUUAGGAUGAUGGAUUUAUUUCACUUUAUGAGGGUGCUCAUUUGGAGGAUGGCAGCAGGAAGAUUAACUUACACUGUAUAUACAACAUAUGAAUAUAUCCACCUGAUGAUAAAAAUAAAAGCUAUAGGCAAAGCCAAGAAAAAUCAAUAGAAAGCUCAGCAAAUCGGCCAGACAAAGGCUUGCGUCGAGAAAAGCUUGCAAAAACGUCUUAUAUUAUGAGACAGAGGGAGUAGGUAUGAAAGAACCACAUCAACAUGUGAAAGAACAAAUAUUUCCAUAAAUAACAGUCCAGAAUCUGGAUACGACAUGUACAUAACGCGAUGUAUAGCUUGCAAAAAUGUCUUAUAUUCUGAAACAGAGGGAGUAGGUUCAUCAACAUGUGAGAGAACAAAUAUUUCCAUAAAUAACGUCCAGAAUCUGGAUACAACAUACAUAGUGUGAUGUAACAACAGACAGGUUGCCAUAUGCACACGGAACGGGCACAUGAGGAAAGAUAACAGCAAGAAAAUAUAGCUUAUCCGGUAAUACAACAAGAGACCAACACAUGACUGAUGAGAGCUGUUUCGAUCAUUCUGGGGCAAGCAAACAUGGCACACGGCAGCAUAGAGCCAAGUUGCUGCAUUACUCCUCGUUGACGGUUUCGGCAUCAGAUACUGCCUCACCGUCCAAGUGCCAGGGCUCAAGAUCUUCGGAAUCAUCGUCCUCGUGCCGACACCACUCGCCGGAUGUGUCCCGGUAUGGUGUCCCCAGUUCCUCGCUGCCACAUGCUAGACGCAAGAAAGGGCGGGUUAGAACCAGGGCGUCGACCAUGAUCCUGUUCAAGCUGCCUUUUAGCCCGAGCCAUCGCAGUCUUGGGAAGAGUGGUUUCUUAAACCACUUCAUUGCAAGUAAUGUGAUCCCACCGCAGUCGUAGAGAUCCAGCAGCUGCAAGGUGCUGCCGCAAGUUACCCCCUUGAAUUGCAUGGAUGCAAGAGCCUUGACAGAAGCAUCCCCUAUUUCUGGAUUCUCUCGCAGCCGCAGCUCAGUAAGAGGAGUUCGGGUCCGCACUAUCACCAUGAUAGCGUCGUCGGUGAGACUUGGGAUUCUUGAGAGAUCCAAUGCAUGUAGGCUCUCUUUAACAGAACCAGCAAACAGCAAGGGUAUGCAAUCAUUUGUUAGCUUAUAGCAGCCCCUCAGAGAUAAUGAAGCUAGCGGGCAUACUCCAACGCCCAGAUACUCCAUUGCUUGAUUAGUGAUCAUGGUUCCAUCCAACACCAAUUUCCGCAGCCUGGGAAGGCAGCUCAGAGCUCUUACAGCUUCAUCACCCAGACUCUUGCAAUCUUUAAGAUCCAAAACAUUGAGACCCUUGUUGAAUGACAGCCUCUCAAUCCCAGCAUCAGUUAGUAGAGUACACCAUCUCAGACUCACAUGUGUUAGGCAAAGGGAGGUGGCAACAAUGUCAUGGAAAACAAGAUCAGUGAGAUGGCUUCCAUUAGUCACCUUAAGCUUAUGAAGACCUGGACAAGAGUGUAUGAUAGCCCUAAACCCGGUGUCCGUUACACGGGAGAAACCACCAAGACAGAUACUCUCCAGAUUUGUGCACUUCUCGGACAUUAGCAGAAUUCCCAGGUCAUUUACAUGGCGGAAAGACGUGUAUAUGAACUCCUGGCUUCUAAUUAGAGAUAAAUGCUUCAACUUACCCUUCGGAUUGAUCUGCUGAAGGCCAGCAUCUGUGAGAUCUGUUGCAGUUGCAGAUUCAGGUUCCAUAAUUGGUGAAUCCUGAAGGUCCAGAUGUGUCAAUAAUGGAAGUGCUGUUGAUAUGGACCCAAUCAAAUGGUCGGUGAUGAACUCAACUGUGAGGCGCAACUUCUGAAGGCUAGGAAAAAAGACAGGUGCCUUGACAUAACCAAUGCGUUGUCGCGACUCAAUAGCCACAGCCAGAAGUGCAAGUAACAUUUGCAAUGGAAUAAAACCCAUUUCAAGAGAGGACAGGCCUUCAGAAGCAGAUGACCACACAUGGCUGAAACUGGGGUUAUCGAACUUUGAGAGAUCAAAUGCCAAGCGGAGAGUCUGCAAAUAAAAAGUAUGUAAGUUGUCAGUUCAAUUACAUACCGAUAAAGGUACUCCAAUCUCAAAGUAAAUCACACAACUGUUUAAGCAUAAACUCUCAAGGCCUCAGCAUUGACUUCAGCUAGUGUGUUGUAUAUUAGUCAGAAGAUCAUGCAAUGUAAGUCAAUUAGAAGUUGAUAGCAAUAGCAUCAUUCACUAUUAAAUGCUCCAAAAUGGGCCUGCACGGUGCUGUUCAGUCAAAGGAGAUGAUGAUUGUACAAAAUCAAAUCUGAGAUCAAACCGACCCGGACCUACCUCCAAACUGGAACAUCCAUCGAGCAACGCCUUCAGAUCAGAGAAUGUCAUGGCCAAGCCCCUCCGAUCAGCAAGUGAGUUCAGAGACAGCACCCUGCAUCCAAGCAAAAGAAGAGAUACUUAUUUCUGAAGGUCAACUUCACACUGCACAACAGAGCCAAACAUAAUUUGCCAUACACAAGCGAUUUGUGAUAUGCAUACAGGGGCGUGUGCAGCGGGGUUAAUACCUGAGAUCCGGGCAGGUGGCGCUGAGCUCGCGGAGCAGGCGGCCGCUGAUGUUGUUGCAGUUGCGGAGGGUGAGCUCGUGCAGGCCGGGGCGGGCGAGGCAGUCGACGGCGUCGUCGUCGAGCCGCGCGGCGUCCAGCCGGAGGCUCCGCAGGGCCGGGUUGCGCGGCAGCAGCGGGCGGAGCAGGUUGUGCGUCAGCACCACCUCCUGGUCCAGCCAACAUGCACACAAACACGAGACGUAAGUCAGUCAGCCGCGGUCGGACGGUCGGCGGUGGCGACGGGAUGCGCGGAGGCGAAGGCACUGACGAGGAGGUGGAAGGCGGGGAGGAAGGAGAGGGCGUGGGAGGCGCAGGAGCGGAAGCAGCGGCAGACGGCGGAGGCGAGGAGGAGGGAGCGGACGUCGAGGCGGGAGAGGAUGGUGGCGACGACGGCGGCCGGGAGCGCGGCGUCCAUCGCCGGCGGCGGCUCGGGGGCCGGAUCGUCGAUCGGAUCUGGCGCGGACAUGCCGGUGGUGGAUGGUACUCUGGUGCUGCUGGGAGAGCGGACGGACAUGGGCGGGUUUUGAGCCAGAGCAGAGAGCCGUCGCUGCUUCGCGGAAGCUUCCUUCCGGAUCACAUGGGCCCACGCGCCGCUUGCUGCGCUGCGGCGGCUGUCUUGUGGGGCCGGAGAGCGGUGACCACGCCGUAUUUGGGUUUUCUCAGGAAAAAGACGUUCAUCACCUCCAGCUCCAAGUACAUGAAUGAUGUAAAGAAAAACGGGUUGGCUAUUUCUAAGAGUAAUCACGACCCAAAUAGACGCGCGCUUUAUCCGCUUUUCGUUCAUUUGGGUCAGCCAGACUCUCAAAUGGGUCGGCUUGACCGUCCAACAAGGAGAUGGACCCAAAUGUGCCGGUGUAGAAAAAAAAUCGCAGAAAUAAACAUAAUUAAACAUAAGUGACCGGUCAACUGCUGGCCAAAGUCCACUUAAACUUAAUUAAAAUUAAUUAAAACAUAAAAAAAAUACUGCGCUCGCACGCUGUCCUAGACAUCAUUGGCCUUUUCCUUACCCUUGACACUGCUGAUGUCGAAGAGGCCUAUUGCUUGCUAGGGUUUGGUGUCACUAGCGAGGAAGCACGAGGGGGUGGUGGGGGCUAGAUGUGGACGGAAGUGGAUGACGCCGCCCCCCACCGCACGUAUGGUUAAAAAAGGACGCUUCAACUGGCUGACUAGUGAGCCCGCUAUUGGUGGUCGUCAUAAAUUAGACAACGGGCGGUAGUUAGGUGGCCUACAAGUGGAGACGCGGCGGAAGCCGAGGAGACGCGCGGCGCGUCCGCUUCGCGUCCGCGCCGAUGCAUUCCAGGCGCAAUUUUGGGCCGAAAAUGGGUCGGCGCGGACGCCAGGCUGACGAGAUUUGGGUUUGUGUCGGCGCGUUGGGCCUCCAUUUUUGUCUGCGUCGACCCAAACGGACGCAUGUGGACAAAAUGGGUCGCUCCAUUGAAGUUGCUCUAAGUUGCCUGAGAAUUUAGCAUGGGUCGUACCAUUUUGACAACGUCCCAGUUGACCAUGGCGUACUCGGUGAGGUCUUGUGGAACGAGCAAGAGUGUUGUUUGUCUGACGAUGAUGGCCAAGGGCGGCAAAGGCGAGGAGAAGGCAGAAGGCAUCUAGGCGGGAAAGGAGAUGGAUUGCGAGGAGGAAGAUAAACAUUGCUCGGAACAGGACCGUUGGAUUGACAUCCUACGGUUCGGAUAUAAUCGACUAAAGUUGAUAUAGUUUUUUGAGUCGUGUGAUGUUUAGGCGGUCCCAAAGAAAGAAAACAUUCAUAGCCGGCUCAUGUGCCAUGCAUUGGGCUUUCUAUUAUGGUGCUUGGGAAUUUGGGCAAUUGGGCAUCCAUUUUGGUUUCCAACAUGCACAAUAUUGAUCCAAAAUCUUCAAAUUACUUGCAUUCCUCCUACCAGCAGGCAUAAAAAUCAAAGAAUCUUCACCAACUACUAGAUGAGACAUCGAUUGACAUCCCUAUAAACAUCGAUUCCCUCUUGUUCUCCUCUUCUUACUGCUGCAACUAGAUCAUUGAUGGCAUGCAGUGUUUGUUGGGAACGCAAUAAUUUCAAAAAAAAAAUCUAUGCACACGCAAGAUCUAUCUAGGUGAUGCAUAGCAACGAGAGGGGAGAGUCUUGUCUACGUAUCCUUGUAGACCGUAAGCGGAAGCUUUAUGAUAACGCGGUUGAUGUAGUCGUACGUCUUCACGAUCCGACCGAUCGUAAUACCGAAAGUAUGGCACCUCCGCGAUUUGCACAUGUUCAGCUCGGUGACGUCCCACGAACUCUCGAUCCAGCUGAGUGUUGACGGAGAGCUUCAUCAGCACGACGGCGUGAUGACAGUGAUGAUGAUGCUACCGGCGCAGGGCUUCGCGUAAGCACUACGACGAUAUGACCGUUGUGGAUUAUGAUGGAGGGGGCACCGCACACGGCUAAGACAAUGAUCAACUUGUGUGUCUAUGGGGUGCCCCUCCCCCGUAUAUAAAGGAGUGGAGGAGGGGGGAGGGCCAGCCCUCUAUGGCGCGCCCUAGGGGAGUCCUACUCCCACCGGGAGUAGGAUUCCUCCCUUCCAAGUAGUAGGAGUAGGACAGAAGGAAGGGGAGGAGAGGGGAAAGGAAAGGGGGGGGGGGCACCCAAUUCGGAUUGGGCUAGGGGGGGCGCCUCCCACCUUUUCCCUUCCUCUCCUCAAUUCCAAUAAGGCCCAUAUACUCCCCGGGGGGUUCCGAUAACCUCCCGGUACUCCGGAAAAUGCCUGAACUCAUCCGGAACCAUUUCGAUGUCCAAACAUAGGCUUCCGAUAUAUCGAUCGUUAUGUCUCGACCAUUUUGAGAUUCCUUGUCAUGUCCGUGAUCAUAUCUGGGACUCCGAACUACCUUCGGUACAUCAAAACACAUAAACUCAUAAUAUCGAUCGUCACCGAACAUUAAGCGUGCGAACCCUACGGGUUCGAGAACUAUGUAGACAUGACCGAGACUCAUCUCAGGUCAAUAACCAAUAGCAGAACCUGGAUGCUCAUAUUGGUUCCUACAUAUUCUACGAAGAUCUUUAUCGGUCAAACCGCACAACAACAUUCGUUGUUCCCUUUGUCAUCGGUAUGUUACUUACCCGAGAUUCAAUCGUCGGUAUCUCAAUACCUAGUUCAAUCUCGUUACCGGCAAGUCUCUUUACUCGUUCCGUAAUGCAUUAUACCGCAACUAACUCAUUAGUCACAUUGCUUGCAAGGCUUGUAGUGAUGUGAAUUACCGAGAGGGCCCAGAGAUACCUCUUUGAUACUCGGAGUGACAAAUCCUAAUCUCGAUCUAGGCCAACUCAAUAAACACCAUCGGAGACACCUGCAGAGCAUCUUUAUAGUCACCCAGUUAUGUUGUGAUGUUUGAUAGCACACUAAGUGUUCCUCCGGUAUUCGGGAGUUGCAUGAUCUCAUAGUCAUAGGAACAUGUAUAAGUAAUGGAGAAAGCAAUAACAACAAACUAAACGAUCAUUGUGCUAAGCUAACGGAUGGGUCAAGUCAAUCACAUCAUUCUCUAAUGAUGUAAUCCCGUUAAUCAAAUGACAACUCAUGUCUAUGGUCAGGAAACAUAACCAUCAUUGAUUCAACGAGCUAGUCAAGUAGAGACAUACUAGUGACACUCUGUUUGUCUAUGUAUUCACACAUGUACUAAGUUCCCGGUUAAUACAAUUCUAGCAUGAAUAAUAAACGUUUAUCAUGAUAUAAGGAAAUAUAAAUAACAACUUUAUUAUUGUCUCUAGGGCAUAUUCCCUUCAGUCUCCCACUUGCACUAGAGUCAAUAAUCUAGAUUACAUUGUAAUGAUUCUAACACCCAUGGAGUCUUGGUGCUGAUCAUGUUUUGCUCAUGAGAGAGGCUUCGUCAACAGGUCUGCAACAUUCAGAUCCGUAUGUAUCUUGCAAAUCUCUAUGUCUCCCUCCUUGACUUGAUCGCGGAUAGAAUUAAAGCGUCUCUUGAUGUGCUUGGUUCUUUUGUGAAAUCUGGAUUCCUUUGCCAAGGCAAUUGCACCAGUAUUGUCACAAAAUAUUUUCAUUGGAUCCUAUGCACUAGGUAUUACACCUAGAUCGGAUAUGAACUCCUUCAUUUGUUGCUUCCUAAGCAGCUAUGUACUCCGCUUCACACGUAGAUCCCGCCACGACGCUCUGCUUGGAACUGCACUAACUGACAGCUCCACCAUUUAAUAAAAAUAUGUAUCCAGUUUGUGACUUAGAGUCUCCGGAUCAGUGUCAAAGCUUGCAUCGACGUAACCAUUUACGACGAGCUCUUUGUCACCUCCAUAAACGAGAAACAUAUCCUCAGUCCUUUUUAGGUAUUUCAGGAUGUUCUUGACCGCUGUCCAGUGAUCCACUCCUGGAUUACUUUGGUACCUCCAUGCUAAACUAAUAGCAAGGUACACAUCAGGUCUGGUACACAACAUUGCAUACAUGAUAAAACCUAUGGCUGAAGCAUAGGGAAUGAAUUUCAUUUUCUCUCUAUCUUUUGCAGUGGUCGGGCAUUGAGUCUAGCUCAACUUCACACCUUGUAACACAGGCAAUAACCCUUUCUUUGAUUGAUCCAUUUUGAACUCAUUCAAAACUUUAUCAAGGUGUGUGCUUUGUGAAAGUCCAAUUAAGCGUCUUGAUCUAUCUCUAUAGAUCUUGAUGCCCAAUAUAUAAGCAGCUUCACUGAGGUCUUUCAUUGAAAAAUUCAUAUUCAAGUAUCCUUUUAUGCUAUUCAGAAAUUCAGUAUCAUUUUCGAUCAACAAUAAGUCAUCUACAUAUAAUAUCAGAAAUGCUACAGAGCUCCCACUCACUUUCUUGUAAAUACAGGCUUCGCCAAAAGUCUGUAUAAAACCAUAUGCUUUGAUCACACUAUCAAAGCGUAUAUUCCAACUCCGAGAGGCUUGCACUAGUCCAUAAAUGGAUCGCUGGAGCUUGCACACUCUGUUAGCAUCUUUUGGAUCGACAAAACCUUCUGGUUGCAUCAUAUACAACUCUUCUUUAAGAUAUCCAUUAAGGAAUGCAGUUUUGACAUCCAUUUGCCAAAUUUCAUAAUCAUAAAAUGCGGUAAUUGCUAACAUGAUUCGGACGGACUUAAGAAUCGCUACGGGUGAGAAGGUCUCAUCGUAGUCAACUCCUUGAACUUGUUGAAAACCUUUUGCAACAAGUCGAGCUUUCUAGACAGUAACAUUACCGUCAGCGUCAGUUUUUUUCUUGAAGAUCCAUUUAUUCCCUAUGGCCUGCCGAUCAUUGGGCAAGUCAACCAAAGUCCACACUUUGUUCUCAUACAUGGAUCCCAUCUCAGAUUUCAUGGCCUCAAGCCAUUUUGCGGAAUCUAGGCUCAUCAUCGCUUCCUCAUAGUUCGUAGGUUCGUCAUGGUCAAGUAACAUGACCUCGAGAACAGGAUUAUGCUACCUCUUGAGCAUUGCGUUGGAUUUCCUUGAAGAGGAAAGGAUGAUGCAGCAAAGUAGCGUAAGUAUUUCCCUCAGUUUUUGAGAACCAAGGUAUCAUUCCAGUAGGAGGUUGCGCGCACGUCCCUAGUACUUGCACAAAACAAAUGAUUCCUCGCAACCAACACGAUAAGGGGUUGUCAAUCCCUUCACGGCCACUUACGAGAGUGAGAUCUGAUAGAUAUGAUAAGAUAUUUUUUUGGUAUUUUUGUGAUAAAGAUGCAAAGUAAAAUAAAGGCAAAGUAAAAAGCAAAGGAAAUAACUAAGUAUUGGAAGAUUAAUAUGAUGAAGAUAGACCCCGGGGCCAUAGGUUUCACUAGAGGCUUCUCUCAAGAGCAUAAGUAUUUUACGGUGGGUGAACGAAUCAUUGUUGAGCAAUUAACAGAAUUGAGCAUAGUUAUGAGAAUAUCUAGGUAUGAUCAUGUAUAUAGGCAUCACGUCUGAGACAAGUAGACCGACUCCUGCCUGCAUCUACCACUAUUACUCCACUCAUCGACCGCUAUCCAGCAUGCAUCUAGAGUAUUAAGUUCAUGAAAACAGAGUAACGCCUUAAGCGAGAUGACAUGAUGUAGAGGGAUAAAUUCAUGCAAUAUGAUAAAAAACCCAUCUUGUUAUCCUCGAUGGCAACAAUACAAUACGUGCCUUGCUGCCCCUACUGUCACUGGGAAAGGACACCACAAGAUUGAACCCAAAGCUAAGCACUUCUAUCCCAUUGCAAGAAAGAUCAAUCUAGUAGGCCAAACCAAACUGAUAAUUCGAAGAGACUUGCAAAGAUAACCAAUCAUACAUAAAAGAAUUCAGAGAAGAUUCAAAUAUUGUUCAUAGAUAAUCUUGAUCAUAAACCCACAAUUCAUCGAUCUCAACAAACACACCGCAAAAAGAAGAUUACAUCGAAUAGAUCUCCACAAGAGAGGGGGAGAACAUUGUAUUGAGAUCCAAAAAGAGAGAAGAAGCCAUCUAGCUAAUAACUAUGGACCCGAAGGUCCGAGGUAAACUACUCACACUUCAUCGGAGAGGCUAUGGUGUUGAUGUAAAAGCCCUCCGUGAUGGAUGCCCCCUCCGGCGGAGCUCCGGAACAAGACCCAAGAUGGGAUCUCGUGGAUACAGAAAGUUGCAGCGGUGGAAUUAGGUUUUUGGCUCCGUAUCUGAUCGUUUGGGGGUACGUAGGUAUAUAUAGGAGGAAGGAGUAUGUCGGUGGAGCAACAGGGGGCCCACGAGGGUGGAGGGCGCGCGCCUGGUGGGGGAGGGUAGGCGCGCUCCCUACCUCGUGGCCUCCUCCUUUGUUUCUUGACGUAGGGUCCAAGUCUCUUGGAUCAUGUUUGGUGAGAAAAUCACAUUCCCGAAGGUUUCAUUCCGUUUGGACUCUGUUUGAUAUUCCUUUUCUUCGAACCCCUAAAAUAGGCAAAAAAAACAGCAAUUCUGGGCUGGGCAUCCGGUUAAUAGGUUAGUCCCAAAAAUAAUAUCAAAGUGGACAAUAAAACCCAAUAAUGUCCAAAACAGUAGAUAAUAUAGCGUGGAGCAAUAAAAAAAAUUAUAGAUACGUUGGAGACGUAUCAAGCAUACCCAAGCUUAAUUCCUGCUCGUCCUUGAGUAGGUAAAUGAUAAAAACAGAAUUUUUGAUGUGGAAUGCUACUUGGCAUAAUUUUAAUGUAAUUCUUCUUAAUUGUGGUAUGAAUAUUCAGAUCUGAAAGAUUCAAGAUAAAAGUUUAAUAUUGACAUAAAAAUAAUAAUACUUCAAGCAUACUAACAAAGCA